rnacentral:lncRNA from 1 species
GCCGAGCCCUGCCCGCCUGGUUCUCAUUUAGAGCAAGCCCAGCUACAGCGAGGACAUUCCAGAGGGGACAGUCAGACGCCAGUCCGCCCAGGGCUGGGGAAGCUAGGCUACGGGUCCCGCCAGGGUCAGAGGGCUCCGGACCAGGCUUCCUGCCCUGGCCACAUCUCCAAGCGGCUUAACCCUUCCAGGAGCAUGGCCGCUCUUCUGUGGCCUGCUGACCACAGCCACCACUGACCCUCGGCCUGAGCCGAGGCCUCCUGGCUCCCAGGCCCCUGUCCCUGCCCAGCCUGGUCUCCCUGCUGCCCUGCCCGUGGGCUUCCAGCUGUGGUCCACGCCUUCCGGGUUGAGGAGGCAGGGGACAGGACAAUUGCCACUAAUUAGGUGUCAGCUGCGGCUGCCACAGGCUCGGCCCCUCCCGGGAGACGCAGGUGGAAGGCUCUCUCCCUGGAACGAGCCUGCCCUUCUCAGCCUGGAAAAGCCGGCUGCCCGAGCUGCUCCCAGCUGGGCGUCCGGGCACGAAGCUCCCUGUUUGUGAUGGCCCCUCCCUCCGCUCCUGCUCCGCACCUGGAUUAUGGUACUCGGCUUGCUCAUCAAAAUAAAUUCUUUCUCCUGUCACUUCAACCCCCAAAGCUCCGAGGCAGGUGCAGGACCCAGGAGGGCAGUCACAGCCCUGAGCCGGCUACCACCUGGCCCUAGACCCAUCAGACAUGGAGGAGUGGCCCACACGGGGGAGGGCCAGGCCUGUCCCUGCUCUCCUGGAGGAUGAAUGGGCUGCUCUGCCUGGAGCUUCCCCUGCCACUUUCUCUGACCCCAGCAGACCAAGCCUGCACACAGGAAGGCAGCACUGCUGGGCGGGCGAGGCAGUGCUUGCUGUAUCUGAGCACCUGGAUCCAGCCAUUCCUGAGGCCUGAUUCCCCCCCCCCAAUAAAUUCCAUUUUCUCCCUAA